rnacentral:snoRNA from 1 species
UGCAGCCAUGUCAAAUUCAGUGCACCCUUUUUGGUAGGAUGCACUGGCCAAAAUGGCUGCGACAGUGACUGUAGUUCAUGGGCCUCAACUUCUUCUGUUCAGUGGAAUUUGGGGAUAAAAAUGUGCUUCAGACAGCU